CGCCCGUCACACCAUGGGAGCUGGUAAUGCCCGAAGUCGGUUUGUUAACUUCGGAGACGACUGCCUAAGGCAGGACCGGUGACUGGGGUGAAGUCGUAACAAGGUAUCCCUACGAGAACGUGGGGAUGGAUUACCUCCUUUCUUACGGAGUACAUUAUUUUUACAAAAGGCAUUUUUUAUUAACUGAAAGCUUUUAGAUUUUUCUAAAAGCGGUUGUGUAUCGCUUUUUUUGCCUUGGGCUAUUGUAUUUAGUUUUGAGAGAACAACCUCUCUUAAAAUUGUUCUUUGAAAACUAAAUAGUAAUAAAGAUAUUACAACGACAUCAAAAAUAUAAAUUAAUUAAGGUUAAUUUGUUUUGAUACCGAGUUUAAAUUAUUGAAUAAUAAUUUAUUAAAAUGUCUUUGAAUACAUCAUAACAACAUAACAAUAGGACAUAUUGAUACUAACUUUUAAAAAAGUAAGAGUGUGUAGUGGAUGCCUUGGGUCUUAAAGUCGAUGAAGGACGUGAUUACCUGCGAUAAGCCUCGUUGAGCUGGAUAUAAGCUACAAAACGGGGAUUUCCGAAUGGGGGAACCUAAUUAGAUUCAAAUCUAAUUGAUUUAUAGUGAAUUCAUAGCUAUAAAUGCGAGACACGUUGCGAACUGAAACAUCUUAGUAGCAACAGGAAAAGAAAAUAAAUAAUGAUUCCAUUAGUAGCGGCGAGCGAAACUGGAAGAGCCCAAACCAAUUUAUUGGGGUUGUAGGACAGCCUGUAUAAAGUUACAAAACUGUAUUAUAGUAGAAUAAACUGGAAAGUUUAAGCAUAGAAGGUGAAACUCCUGUACACGAAAUAAUAUAGACUUUUGGCUGUAUCCUGAGUAGGGCGGGGCACGUGAAACCCUGUCUGAAUCCGCCAGGACCAUCUGGCAAGGCUAAAUACUAAUAAGACACCGAUAGUGAACUA
rnacentral:sRNA from 2 species